UACAGAGGUCUCAAGCGUUGUUCGGAUUCAUUGGGCGUAAAGGGUGCGUAGGCGGUGCGGCAAGUUGGGAGUGAAAUCUCUGGGCUUAACCCAGAGGCUGCUUCCAAAACUGCUGUGCUUUGAGUGUGGGAGAGGCGCGUGGAAUUGCAGGUGUAGCGGUGAAAUGCGUAGAUAUCUGCAGGAACACCCGUGGCGAAAGCGGCGCGCUGGACCACUACUGACGCUGAGGAACGAAAGCUAGGGGAGCAAACAGG
rnacentral:rRNA from 1 species